UUGACCACCUUUAAUUCAUCAUUGAGUCCAUAGGUUGUUUGGUUAGAAUGAGAAAUGCCCACAUGGUAGUGGUAGUGCUGUCACUUUGUAGGAAGUAAAUCCACUUGGUCCAGAGGACUUUGAGGAGAAAGAGGGCCGGGUCCUGGCACCUAAAACCCACUAUGCCAAAGACGACAAUCCUUGCCUAAACAACAAGGCAGCUGAGGAUCUGAGGCAGUCAGUAAAGCCAAAGCCGGAUGUUAAGAGGUCACAGGCUUCAUUGGAAAAAGGGCAGUCUCUGCAGUCUCUCCGAAAAUCCCUCCGUCUUAAAGAAGCACAGAAUCAUCCUCAGUGGAGGAUCAACACAAACAUGACAUUGGUUCCAGAGAGGCUGAGGCAGAUAUUGUAGAGAAGACCAUGGGCAUCUACACAGUCAGAGCAGAUGGGUGUGUUCACGAUCUGUCUUUAAACUCGAUGGAGGGAACAGACCUGAUAUCCAACAUCCAGUUUCCUGUGUUACUUUCUGAUGCUGUUUUGGCAACCAAGAGAGUGAGAACUUUGAAACAAUAAAACAUGUCUUUGUGCUUCACAAAAAAAAGAAAAAAAGGUUUUUACUUUUGGUGUCUAAUGACUGAACAUGGGAGUUAGUGUAAUUUAAUUUCCAAGUGCCGUUUAUUAAGUUAUUGCACUGGUAGUUUUGCAGUUUGCUCUGUUGAGCUGAAUUAUUUGACAUUUUAGGCAGAUUUAUGGUUUGUGUUUUUACCUCAUGUCA